rnacentral:rRNA from 1 species
CUUGAAACACGGACCAAGGAGUCUAACAUGUGCGCGAGUCAUUGGGAGCUGUUAAGCCUAAAGGCGGAAUGAAAGUGAAGAUCGGCCUUGCCGCCGAUCGAGGGAGGAUGGGCCGCGUCACGAUGCGGUCCCGCACUCCCGGGGCGUCUCGUUCUCAUUGCGAGAGGAGGCGCACCCAGAGCGUACACGUUGGGACCCGAAAGAUGGUGAACUAUGCCUGGUCAGGACGAAGUCAGGGGAAACCCUGAUGGAGGUCCGUAGCGAUUCUGACGUGCAAAUCGAUCGUCGGAACUGGGUAUAGGGGCGAAAGACUAAUCGAACCAUCUAGUAGCUGGUUCCCUCCGAAGUUUCCCUCAGGAUAGCUGGCACUCGUUUUAUGCGAGUCUCAUCUGGUAAAGCGAAUGAUUAGAGGCCUUGGGGCCGAAACGACCUCAACCUAUUCUCAAACUUUAAAUGGGUGAGAUCACUGGCUUGCUUGAAUAAUGAAGCCAAGUGAUAUAUCGGAUCAGAGUGCCAAGUGGGCCAAUUUUGGUAAGCAGAACUGGC